UGAUAUAGGGGAAAUCAGGCUAUGGCAUCUAUCACCCCAUUGGUCAUCAUAAUCGAUUUGAUUGAUCUGGCUUGCUAUAUGGGUAUCUCUUUCCCUUCUCAUUCUGAGUACAUGUCCCUCCCAAAGCCACUUUCUUGGUUAACAGUGUACCAAUAGCUGGGUUCCCUAAAAAAACCUCCAAAUAGGUUCUCAGAAGAAUUAUGUGCAUGUACGACUGAUCACAUAUAGCAGUAUGAUAAACUCCACACAGAGAGACAAAAGUCCAUCAAGAGAGGU
ensembl:misc_RNA 7SK 7SK RNA